GGAGAGGUGUCAGAGCGGUCGAACGAGCACGCUUGGAAAGCGUGUGUAUCUUAACGGGUACCGCGGGUUCGAAUCCCGCUCUCUCCGCCA
rnacentral:tRNA from 1 species